UCCCAUGUAGUGCAGAGGUUUAGCAUACUGGAUUUUCAUACCUCAAUUUUGGAAAUCUCCAGAGACCCGGGUUCGAACCCCGGCGUGGGAA
rfam:Sordaria macrospora k-hell, WGS project CABT02000000 data, contig: 2.22